AGAGAGGAAGGUACCAGGUUUCAUGCAAGAUCUUGGUUUCAAUGCUCCAAGGACUUUUGUACUACCAUGCAUUAGAGCGUUGUUUAUAUGAUAGGUGGGGAAGAAAGAUAAUUGGUGAAUAGGAGAGGUAGAGAGAAUUCAGUGAACAAUUAAUUGCUUGGGCUCUGGAUAGAUAUGCAUCGGGAAAAAUAGUUUCUAGGGUGGUGUCUAUAUGAUAUGGCGUAGUUUAGAAACUUCCUGAUCCUGUUACUCCUUUUUGUCUGUCUUGUUUGUGGUUGGAGACUGCCAUUAUAUAAAACCGAUGGUACUUUGUGUAAAAAAAUGCGUAAAAUUAGUUCAUAGAAUCAUGAUAGACUUUAUUUUCAUAAACCUGUUUGUAUUGUUUUUUGUAUUUUUUCUAAAGACAUUUGCAUUUUGAUACAUACAUAAAUUUAUCUUUAUUGUACCUUUUUAAUGAUGGCGAGUUUGUAGUAAGAAUAUUUGGUCGAAGAAUAUGUGACGCUUUAUGUCCCUCCUCAUCCAUAGUAAAAUUUAUAAAAUCCUUGUUAUCUUUUUU
rnacentral:lncRNA from 1 species